rnacentral:rRNA from 1 species
GAUGAACGCUGGCGGCGUGCCUAAUACAUGCAAGUCGAGCGAACGGACGAGAAGCUUGCUUCUCUGAUGUUAGCGGCGGACGGGUGAGUAACACGUGGAUAACCUACCUAUAAGACUGGGAUAACUUCGGGAAACCGGAGCUAAUACCGGAUGAUAUUUUGAACCGCAUGGUUCAAAAGUGAAAGACGGUCUUGCUGUCACUUAUAGAUGGAUCCGCGCUGCAUUAGCUAGUUGGUAAGGUAACGGCUUACCAAGGCAACGAUGCAUAGCCGACCUGAGAGGGUGAUCAGCCACACUGGAACUGAGACACGGUCCAGACUCCUACGGGAGGCAGCAGUGGGGAAUCUUGGGCAAUGGGCGAAAGCCUGACGGAGCAACGCCGCGUGAGUGAAGAAGGUCUUCGGAUCGUAAAGCUCUGUUAGUAGGGAAGAACAAAUGUGAAAGUAAAUAUGCACGUCUUGACGGUACCUAAAGAGAAAGCCACGGCUAACUACGUG